ACCGAGACUAGAGUCACAUCCUGACACCGUUGGUUGUCUUGGCGUGCUAGAGUCCUCGCAGAGAAUCCCCCUGCUCUUUAUUCACCGGCCGAGGGCCGUCCCGUGCCUCGGCCGGUCACCGGAUCGGGAACAUCG